rnacentral:rRNA from 1 species
UACGUAGGGGGCAAGCGUUGUCCGGAUUUAUUGGGCGUAAAGAGCGUGUAGGCGGCCAGGUAGGUCCGCUGUGAAAACUCGAGGCUCAACCUCGAGAUGUCGGCGGAAACCACUUGGCUAGAGUCCGGAAGAGGAGAGUGGAAUUCCUGGUGUAGCGGUGAAAUGCGCAGAUAUCAGGAAGAACACCUAUGGCGAAGGCAGCUCUCUGGGACGGUACUGACGCUGAGACGCGAAAGCGUGGGGAGCGAACAGG